rnacentral:rRNA from 1 species
AGCAGUAGCCACGGUAAUACGAAGGGGGCUAGCGUUGUUCGGAAUUACUGGGCGUAAAGCGCACGUAGGCGGAUUUUUAAGUCAGGGGUGAAAUCCCGAGGCUCAACCUCGGAACUGCCUUUGAUACUGGAGAUCUUGAGUUCGGAAGAGGUUGGUGGAACAGCUAGUGUAGAGGUGAAAUUCGUAGAUAUUAGCUAGAACACCAGUGGCGAAGGCGGCCAACUGGUCCGAUACUGACGCUGAGGUGCGAAAGCGUGGGGAGCAAACAGGAUUAGAUACCCGCGUAGUCCCUGUCUCUUAUAA